rnacentral:tRNA from 1 species
GUUUUAAUAGUUUAAGGAAAACAUUGGUCUUGUAAAUCAAUAAUGAGGCCCGCCUCUUAAAACU